CUCAGGAUGAACGCUAGCGAUAGGCUUAACACAUGCAAGUCGAGGGGCAGCACGGUGUAGCAAUACACUGGUGGCGACCGGCGUACGGGUGCGUAACACGUAUGCAACCUACCCGCUAUGGGGGAUAACCCGGCGAAAGUCGGACUAAUACCCCAUAUUAUUCUUACCGGGCAUCCGGUAGGUCUGAAAGAUUUAUCGAUUGCGGAUGGGCAUGCGGAUGAUUAGCUAGUAGGUGGGGUAACGGCUCACCUAGGCGACGAUCAUUAGGGGUUCUGAGAGGAAGGUCCCCCCACACUGGAACUGAGACACGGUCCAGACUCCUACGGGAGGCAGCAGUGAGGAAUAUUGGUCAAUGGGCGCUAGCCUGAACCAGCCAAGUCGCGUGAAGGAUGAACCAGAUCUAUGGUUUGUAAACUUCUUUUGCAGGGGAGUAAAGUGCGACACGUGUGUUGUAUUGCAAGUACCCUGCGAAUAAGCAUCGGCUAACUCCGUGCCAGCCGCGGC
rnacentral:rRNA from 1 species